UACAGAGGGUGCAAGCGUUAAUCGGAAUUACUGGGCGUAAAGCGUGCGUAGACGGUCAUGUAAGUCGGGUGUGAAAGCCCCGGGCUCAACCUGGGAAUUGCAUUCGAGACUGCAUGGCUAGGAUGCGGAAGAGGGAAGCGGAAUUUCCGGUGUAGCGGUGGAAUGCGCAGAUAUCAGGAGGAACACCAAUAGCGAAGGCAGCUCGCUGGGACGGUAUUGACGCUAAGGCGCGAAAGCGUGGGGAGCAAACAGG
rnacentral:rRNA from 1 species